rnacentral:misc_RNA from 1 species
GAUGAAGAACGUAGUGAAAUGCGAUAAGUAGUGUGAAUUGCAGAAUUCAGUGAAUCAUCGAAUCUUUGAACGCACAUUGCGCCCCAUGGUAUUCCGUGGGGCAUGCCUGUUCGAGCGUCAUUUACCCCCUCAAGCUCCGCUUGGUGUUGGGCGUCUGUCCCGCUUCGCGCGCGGACUCGCCCCAAAGGUAUUGGCAGCGGUCGUGCCAGCUUCUCGCGCAGCACAUUGCGCUUCUCGAGGCACCGGUGGGCCCGCGUCCAUCAAGCUCACCCCCCCAGUUUGACCUCUGAUCAGGUAGGGAUACCCGCUGAACUUAAGCAUAUCAAUAAGCGGAGGA